GCCAAGCAUGGUGGCAUGUGCCUGUAGUCCCAGCUACUCAGGAGGCUGAGACUGGAGGAUCACUUAAGCCCAGGAGUUGGAGGCUGCAGUGAACAAAGAUUAUUCCACUGUACUCUAACCUGGGUGACAGAGCCAGACCCUGUCUCAAAAAAAAAAAAAAAAAAAAAAAAAAGCUAAGAAAGAUAAGACAGUUUUCAUUAAGCAUGGAAACCAUUUCAACUUUAAAUGCAAACUUUUAAGGAAGGAAAGAUUUUACUAGUUUCUUCCUCUGACAAAUAUAUUUUAUUAACACAUUUCAUUUAUUAAUAAAUCCCACCACACUUAAUUUUAUUUUUUGUUUUCUUUUCUCCUUCUCUGAAAAAUAAUAUAAUAAGGUAGAAACCCAGGGACCUGACUGCUCAGCCAGACCUGGCCUUCACUGCACUGGACUCCCUAGCAACAUGGGGCUCUUUAAGGCUUGUUUUCCCUUUGGGACUGUAAGAAGCUUAAUGCACAGGAAACUUCUUCAUUGGAAACUUAUCCAAAAUAAGUUUUAAUUUCUAAGUUUGCAGGCUGUGGAUCCUGGGUAACUGUCAUGGAUUUAGGGGACCCUAGAAGAGUUGAAAUCAUGAGUUCCCUACUUCUCCCUCUCCUUUUUCAGCCUAUCCCCUUUUCCUAGAUAAUUUAAUCUGUUAUAAUUUACAGCCAGAAAUAGAUUAAGAUUGUGCUUCCAUAAGUGACUUUUCCAGCCUUUAAAAAACGUAUCAACAUCUGGGUCCCACUCCCAGAUAUCUAGCUGGUUUGAGGUGAGGCCUGGAAGGCAAUAUUUUUUAGAAACCCCCCACGUAAUUUCAAUGUAUGGCCAGGGUCGAGACCAAAGAUUAGAAUGUAACAUGCAAUGGAUCCUGGAAAAAUUACCUUUGCCUGGGAAAAACUUUGAUUUAUGGGAAUUCAGGCAUAUAUUGUAAAUUAGUGUGUGGUCACGUGUUUUUAGGAAAUGUACUUGAGUUUCCCAAAUGUUGCAGGUAUGGGCUUUGCAUUGAGGCAGUCCUCUGUAUCUUGUUACCCCUGUGGAACUUUGGAAAAGCGGAGUAUAUGAAAGUUGGAGUAAAAUUAAUCUACUUUCAGAGAUUCAGAAGGAACUACAGAUGCACCCAUGGGUGCCCCAGGCAGAAACUGCCAAAGGCUUCUGAAGAAAAUAAAUAAAAGAUAUUUAUGAAGUGACUUGGAAAUAUGAACUGCCCACAACCUAGAUAAUAUACAAAAGCAAUGAUGACGAUGAAGCAGUGCUUUCUCAAAGGCAUAUACAAGACAUCUCACCCUGUGAUUACCUUGUCCUUUACGGCGGACAGCAAUCUCUCAGAAAAGUCAUUGGAUUAAGUAAUUUUCUGCAAGACGAGCUCAAGAUUCAGAUAUGUCACACAGAAAGCAGAUUGUCAGCACAAAUUGAGGACAUCCAAUUGGAUCAUAAUACAAGGAAGUGGAGUUUUCAGUGAAAUAAGCAGUUUCUGUUUCUCUCUCUCUCUCUCUCUGUGUGUGUGUGUGUGUGUGUGUGUACGCACGUGUGUGUGUCUGUCUCUCUCUGUCUCUGUGUGUGUGUGUACGCACACGUGUGUGUGUCCGU
rnacentral:lncRNA from 1 species